GUUUGCUGGGUGUGGGUGUGCUUAAUUGAGUCUUUAUUUCCAUUUCGGGAAGCACCUAAACUCGUUUUCUAGGCUUCCUUGCUGAAUCUGCAGUUUUGAAGGUUAUCCACUCAUCUAUUUAUUCAACAAAUGUUUAUUGAGCACCUACUAUCUGCCAGGUAGCAGGGCCAAUCUUGGCCCUAAAGUUCUGAGCUGGGAGUAAAGAAUACUGAGGGAAAGCCUGUGAAACGUAAGGAGGCCUUGCUGCACCAGAUAGGAUUUUGGCUGCAAGCAACAGAAAGCGGUUCCGAUUAACUUAGGCAAAAAGGAGUUUCCUGCAAGCUGCUGGGGCACCGUACCCGCCUAAAGGAAAGCCGUGCUGCCAGGCCUUGGGAAGGAGACUCAGCGCAGCACUAGCAGCCCCCCUCCCCGGCCCACUGGAGGGCCAAGUCUCUGGGGGGAGAACAUGACAGGCGUGGAGGGCUAGAGAUGCCCCCCUGAGUCCUCUCCUGCCUCUUCCUGUGAAGAAGGCCUCCCGCUGGCUGCACGUUUCCUCACUGUUUGCCGGGACUGGCUGUGCAAUUCCCCGCUGCGCCCGUCCCCAGCGCUCCACACAGGAGCUCCGCGAAUGCUGGCUUGUUAACCGGAUAGCUUGACACUCUAAUCAGUACGAAUUCACCUUCUCAGCUGAGAGGUUAGGAAAGUGUGGAAGGGGAGGGCUGUGGGACGCCACUCCCCACACACUGUUGUGUGGCCUGGGAAAGCUGCUUCACCCCCUUGUGCGUCGGUUUCCUCAUCUGUGAAACAGGGUAAUAAUAAAGUGUCUCUUAGAGUGGCUGCAAGGAUGCCAUUGAUGAAUCCUUUUAAAUGGCUGAGGUGGAGCGUCAGCCACCACGCACCCAGCAGCAGACGUUCCCUUGUGUCCGGCAGGGUCCGGCCUGCAUUUUUACUGAAUUCUUAUUCCUGUUUGCCAAAAGGGAUGGGAGGAGCUGAGUCGAGUGAGGACCUUGUGCCAGACCUGGGGCUCCGUGCCCACAGCCCAGGAGAUGGGAAUCACAGGAAUAUGACCUCUGGUCUUGGCUCU
rnacentral:lncRNA from 10 species